CUGGAACAUUGAGAGGUUCUGGAAUCCCAGUUCAUCUUUCAGGCCAAAGUGACUGACAACCAUCCAGAGACUCAUCCAGACAGACAGGAGAACACUGAUCUUUUCUUGGUAAGAGCAUCCUCAUCAAGUAAAUGCAUGAAAAUUACAACUUUCUGAAAGAAGUCCAACCACAUGUGAAAGAUAAUAAAAAUCUAGAAGAUUAUUUUUAUGACACCAUGGCCUAUUACUAUGGAAAAUAUGAUAAGGAUUUGGAAUUUAGAAACUGAUUCCUGGUCCCCACUCCUGGGCAUAUUCCUUUUCUCCUGGCUCUGCAUCUCAAAGUAAGUUUAUUUUCAAAGUGAAGGGGAGAGAAGGUGUUCUAUGGGAAUUACACCUUCAUCCAAAUACUUCUAGGUUGUAGUGU
rnacentral:lncRNA from 1 species